rnacentral:misc_RNA from 1 species
GAUGAAGAACGUAGCGAAACGCGAUACGUAAUGUGAAUUGCAGAAUUCAGUGAAUCAUCGAAUCUUUGAACGCACCUUGCGCUCCUUGGUAUUCCGAGGAGCAUGCCUGUUUGAGUGUCAUGAAAUUCUCAACCUUUUCAGCUUUCUUUGUUGAUCAGGCUUGGAUGUGGGAGUAUGCGGGCUUCUCAGAAGUCGGCUCUCCUGAAAUGCAUUAGCGGGACCUUUGUUGCCUGGCUUUGGUGUGAUAAUUAUCUACGCCAUUGUAGUCAAGCAGCUUAAAAUGAGGUUUCAGCUUCUAACCGUCUCCCCUGAGACAACUUUUUGACAAUUUGACCUCAAAUCAGGUAGGACUACCCGCUGAACUUAAGCAUAUCAAUAAGCGGAGGA